UGCAGCUGCGGGUAGACCUUGACAUCCGCUGUCGUACAAUAUGUAUAAUCCCUCCGACUGAACGUCGCUGUACGAUAACAAUUGUGCCAAGACUCUUGAAGCUGAAGUAUCUCCUCCUUAGAAAGUUUCUGGGAUGUGCCAUCGUCGGUGAUGGUGCGAUUAUCGUUGCCGCUUGCGAAUAUAAACAAUGUUUCCUCACAAAGAAUUUCAAGCGAUUGUACUUGCUGGUGGAGGAGGAUCUCGUAUGACGGAACUCACUCAUGGAAAACAUAAAUGUUUGUUACCGAUUGGAAAUGUGCCGAUGAUUUGGUAUCCGCUUCAAUUAUUGGAGAACACUGGCUUCAAAGAAGCCAUCGUUGUCGUAUCUGAAAAUAUGGAAAACAGUGUACUGUCGUCUAUCGCCAAGUUGAAUUUAAAAAUUAAGGUGGAUAUUGCUUCCGUUGAAGACGCGGAAGAACUUGGUACUGCAGAUUCUAUCAGACUGAUUCACGAAAAAAUAUAUACAGAUUUUUUGGUAAUCUCCUGUGAUUUGAUCGCCGAUGUUGACAUAUCUGAAGUUUUAAAUCUGUAUAGAAAACACAAUGCCAGUAUCACGGCGUUGCUGUUACCUACACCCAAGGUGCCCGAGGAUUUUGUAACUCCAGGCCCUAAGAAUAAACAGAAACCGGAGACUGAUUUGAUCGGUAUUGAUAACGAAACAGGACGUUUGGUUUUCUUAGCCUCUGGUUCAGAUUUCGAAGAAACUAUAAAUAUUUCGCAAACGCUCCUUAAAAGACAUCCAAAUUUUACUCUUCAUUCGAAAUUAAUGGAUGCUCAUUUAUAUGUUAUCAGAAGAUGGGUUUUAGAUUUUUUGAUGCAUAACAAAAACUUAACUACACUGAAAGGCGAACUUCUUCCAUAUAUCGUAAGUAAACAAUUUUCUAAGCCUCCUAAACAAUGCGUGGACGAUAAGAAUACUUCGCUGGUACAAGUAAACUUAAAAGAAGAUAUUUACCGCUUCGCGGUAGAAAAAUCACUGGACGAGUUGAUUAGAAAAAUGUCAGCGUAUAACGAUCGCAGUACCGAUUUAGAGGAUGGAUAUAACGGUGACAUAAUUAGAUGCUACGCUUAUAUUGGUAAUGGGAAAUUUGGUUUAAGAGCAAACACGAUACAAAUGUAUCACUUUAUUAAUACCAAGAUAUCCGAAUGGUGGAACGUCGAUAACAAUGUACAACCUCGUUUAAAGAACGUUUCACCUACAGCCACUGUACAUAGUACACAGAUACAAGGUUGCAGUAUAGAUGAUAAUUGUACGAUUUCUGAAAAAACCUCCUUGAGAGAAAGUCACCUUGGACCAAACACAGUUAUCGACUCUAAAACGAGAGUAUCUUACAGUACUGUAAUGGAAAAUGUGUGUAAUACAGAAUUGUAUAUUAUGCAAUUGUUGCUUCAUAGAAGAAGGUACAGAACUAAAAGAUUGCAUCGUUGGUCCUCAGCAUACUGUAACAGCUGGAAGUCAACAUUCUCGCGAAGUUCUCACGGAUCCGGAUAAGCUCAUAGAAAUUUAAUCGUUUAGAACAAACUAGACGAAUUAGUUGCUUAAAUUGAGGUUAUGAUUGAUCCGAAUCAACCUGAACGAAGGAACGUGUGGUUUUGGAACCGGACUGAACGUCUCUUUCUGUGUUGCUCCGUUG
rnacentral:misc_RNA from 1 species